rnacentral:rRNA from 1 species
AUGCAGCUCCGGACGAUCGAGGGCGCGAUCGAGGCCAUUGGCGACAAGGUCAUCGUCGACCACCUCGAGAGCCGGACCCACGAGCGCGUCGACACCAAGUUGUUCGCUUGCUGGGUCUGGUGCUGGGAUGUUGCCCACAUCCCCACGAAGCGCACAAUUUGGAAGCACGCCCGGGGCGCGGGACGCGUCGACGAGAUGGUGGGCUACUCCCCGCCGAGCCGCGUCGUUGCGCCACCGCCAGAGCUGCUGCAGUACGAUCUGCUCCUCCACCUAGACCGCGUGGAAGACUAG